AGAAGGCAGUAAGAAUAAUCUGCAGCCCCAUGUGUGGAUGAGACCUGCCUCCCAUUACACUGCAACCAUCGCUGGAAGACGUGGAUGCAGAAGAGAAGGAGCCAUCCCAAGGUGCAGAAGAGGACCCAGUUCAUCAGCUAGAGAGCCUGAAUAGCUAAGCUUUUUGAUUUAUCCCUCUGUCUUUCUUUCUGUCCCCUCCUGACUCUAACAGACUAACCAUCAUCAUUCCCAUCCUCUUCUCUCUCCUUUGUUAUGCCCCUUUCCCAAAGUAAGUUUCCCCUUUUGCUACUUUUUUUUGUCGAGUAAUUUUUCUAUUUUUGGGCUAUGGGUUUUGUAAUUUUCUGUCCGUUUUUGCAAUUGUUUUGUGAAUGUCUAUUUAAUUUUGCAUCUGUUUUGAUUUUGAACUGAUUUGUUUGUCAGUUGUGUAUUUUCAGGGGUUCAAAUGAAGAAGGAGGACAGAAGAGGAGCUUGGCCGGCCUACAGAAGAAGAGGACUCAAUUGCCCAGCUUUGAAUAGAAAAGAACAUUGGCCAGAGUGGUAGAUGCCUGGAUCCCAGUGUUAAGAACAACUUGCUUGUUCGUCAGGAGGAGGGUGGGGAGGAGGGAGGGGAAUUUGCUGUGGUCAAGCAGAGAAGGAAAGAAGGCAGUAAGAAUAAUCUGCAGCCCCAUGCGAGGAUGAGACCUGCCUCGUAUGACACUGCAACCAUCGCUGGAAGAUGUGGAUGCAGAAGAGAAGGAGCCAUCCCAAGGUGCAGAAGAGGACCCAGUUCAUCAGCUAGAGAGCCUGAAUAGCUAAGCUUUUUGAUUUAUCCCUCUGUCUUUCUUUCUGUCCCCUCCUGACUCUAACAGACUAACCAUCACCAUUCCCAUCCUCUUCUCUCUCCUUUGGUAUGCCCCUUUCCCAAAGUAAGUUUCCCCUUUUGCUACUUUUUCUCGAGUAAUUUUUCUAUUUUUGGGCUAUGGGUUUUGUAAUUUUCUGUCCGUUUUUGCAAUUGUUUUGUGAAUGUCUAUUUAAUUUUGCAUCUGUUUUGAUUUUAACUAAAUUGUUUGUCAGUUGUGUAUUUUCAGGGGUUCAGAUGAGGGAGGAGGACAGAAGAGGAGCUUGGCCGCCCUACAGAAGAAGAGGACUCCAUUGUCCAGCUUUGAAUAGAAGGGAACAUUGGCCAAAGUGGUAGAUGCCUGGAUCCCAGUAUUAGGAACAACUUGCUUGUUCGUCAGGAGGAGGGUGGGGAGGAGGGCGGG